UCAUGUGUUCGAGUAUAACUCCUGUUCGAUCACCAGACACAACACCGACAUCGUUGCUGGAUCAAAACCCAACUGCAGAUUGUCUCUUCGUUCAUCUCCCCCGUGCAAGAUCCAACCAAUCCGCAGCGCUCAUCGUCCACAUAUCGGCCUGGAAAGUCAUGAAGAGAAACAACAGAGUUUAGACAACUCGCCACCGCUCAAGAUCGCUAUACUCGGCUUUGGGAACUUUGGCCAGUUCAUGGCCAAAGGUAUUCAGAGGCAGGGCCACAUUGUUCUUGCCACCUCACGCUCUGAUUACUCCGACUACUGCCGUGACAACGGCAUGGUCUUCUUCAGGUUCGUAUGGAAUUGAGUUAUAUACUUACCUAUCUACCUACCUACUUACCCACCAUCGUGCUCUUUCUUUUUUUCUUUUCUUUUUUAAUUUUUGUCGUUCUGAUCUAUAGGAAUGUGGAGGAGAUGUGUGAGGAACAACCGGACGUGAUCUUGAUUUGCAGCUCUAUUCUUUCGAUGGAG
rnacentral:lncRNA from 1 species